CGUUUCCUCACGUUACGAAUAAAGAAGAUUAUUUGGGUGUCACUCCAGAGAUGAAGUGUUCUCCAGGUUUCAUGAUUGUCCUACUCUCAGUGCUUGGACAAACCCACGGAAACUCAGUGACCCAGAUGGGAGGCCAGGUGACCCUUUCAGAAGAGGCUUUCCUGACAGUGAACUGUAAUUAUUCAGCAUCAGGGUACCCUGCCCUUUUCUGGUAUGUUCAGUAUCUGGGAGAAGGUCCACAGCUCCUCCUGAAAGCCUUGACAGACAAGGAAAAGGGAAGCAACAAAGGUUUUGAAGCCACCUAUGACAGUUCAUCCAGAUCCUUCCACUUGAAGAAAAGCUCAGUGCAAAUAUCAGACUCAGCUGUGUACUACUGUGCCCUGAGUGACACAGUGAUAGGGACUGCAGGGGGAGCUGGGUGCAAACUCUGA